GUAAAGAGAGGGUCACACCCCGUAAAUGGAAUUACAACCCACCGCCUAUUCUCAGCCAUCUUUACAAUG
rnacentral:tRNA from 1 species